rnacentral:lncRNA from 1 species
CUAGCUGUCUGAAAUAUCUUUCUUUAUCAUUUCUUUGCAUAUGUAUUCAAAGUUACAUAUGCCCAAUAUAUUUACACAUGUCAUUGAUAUUAUCAUUUGACCACAUUUCUCAGUUAAACAAAUUGUCUGCAAAUCUAUGUAUUUACCAUACAUUUCGGAAUAUGUUCAAAGGCUUUUGAUAUGUUCUGAUUUGACAUACAUUUCAGCCGACAAUAAAGACUAACAAAAUUAUUCCUUUACAAUACAUUUGACAGGUCUCUGUAGAUUAAAGGAAAUGAUGCUUUACACCCCUCUAUAAAGUUCUCGUUUUGAAUUGGUUUACAUACCAGGAAAAUGUAGAUGCACCUUACACUUUAUAACCC